rnacentral:rRNA from 1 species
CAGUAGCCACGGUAAUACGAAGGGUGCAAGCGUUAAUCGGAAUUACUGGGCGUAAAGCGUGCGUAGGCGGUGAGUUAAGUCUGCUGUGAAAUCCCCGGGCUCAACUUGGGAAUGGCAGUGGAUACUGGCUCGCUAGAGUGUGUCAGAGGAUGGUGGAAUUCCCGGUGUAGCGGUGAAAUGCGUAGAGAUCGGGAGGAACAUCAGUGGCGAAGGCGGCCAUCUGGGACAACACUGACGCUGAGGCACGAAAGCGUGGGGAGCAAACAGGAUUAGAUACCCCAGUAGUCCCUGUCUCUUAUAC